CUCUCUAAGGGGUCACAGAAGAAGGGGGGAGAAACAGGUGGCAGGAGACACUAUUUAAGGCUCCCUCAGAUUGCAACAGGACCUGCUGAGCUCAAGGCUGAAGUUCGAUCUUCCCAAAGGGAGCGGCUCUUAUUCUGCCAUGUCCCAGGGAACCUCUUAAAAGGUGAAAAUGAGCCCCAUGAGGCUGCACACCCUUGGCCACGGGAGAUUAAUUGUGGCCACAUCAAAUUCAAUCAGUGUGUGUUUAUCGAUCACUCAUUACACUGCAGGGAUCAUCACGUGUGAAGUCGACGGCCUUGCUGCCUCCUGGGAUGGCGCAGAUCUAUGAACACAAACACAGGACUGUUUUCCAAACUGCUUCCCACCACCCUGAGACAUCAUCUGAUCCCAAUAAUCUACUUACAAGUUUCAAUAUCUGCGGAGGCCAACUUCCCAGUGGUACCGAAAUGAAUUCGAAUGAACUUGCCCUGCGGGGGAAAAGAGAGACCAGCAUCUACCAUGGCUCCAGAUCUUGGGAUUCACAGGACAACUCCCCGAGAGGCCUUCUCUGACAACCUUAUCUCCAGUAGACCGUGACCCCAUUUACUCUAUCAC